AAUCAGUCUGCCUAAUCCAUCAUUUGCCUUAAAGAUACAUUAUGUAUCAAGGUAAAUCGGGAACGGAGGAACCAGUUCUGGGGCGAAUUUGCUAGAAAGAGAAAGCUAGAGUCAAAAGGAUAACAAUAAUCAAACUUUAUCCUUUCGACUUGGUACUUGAUCUUUUUCCAGAAGGACAUCUCUCAGUCCUAGCCCGUCAGCUAACUUCGUCGGCAUUGAGAGGAGAUUGA
rnacentral:sRNA from 2 species